GAAGGACGGAAGUGAUCGACAACACUUUGAAUCCAGACUUUGUGCGCAAGUUUGUCUUAGACUAUUUCUUUGAAGAGAAACAGAAUCUACGCUUUGAUGUAUACAAUGUGGACUCCAGAAGUUCAAACAUCUCAAAGCAUAAGGAUUUCUUGGGUCAGGCUUUUUGCACUUUAGGAGAGAUCAUUGGAUCACCAGGUAGUCGUCUGGAAAAACCUCUC